rnacentral:rRNA from 1 species
AGUGAACGCUGGCGGUAGGCCUAACACAUGCAAGUCGAACGGCAGCACAGUAAGAGCUUGCUCUUACGGGUGGCGAGUGGCGGACGGGUGAGGAAUACAUCGGAAUCUACUUUUUCGUGGGGGAUAACGUAGGGAAACUUACGCUAAUACCGCAUACGACCUACGGGUGAAAGCAGGGGAUCUUCGGACCUUGCGCGAUUGAAUGAGCCGAUGUCGGAUUAGCUAGUUGGCGGGGUAAAGGCCCACCAAGGCGACGAUCCGUAGCUGGUCUGAGAGGAUGAUCAGCCACACUGGAACUGAGACACGGUCCAGACUCCUACGGGAGGCAGCAGUGGGGAAUAUUGGACAAUGGGCGCAAGCCUGAUCCAGCCAUACCGCGUGAGUGAAGAAGGCUUUCGGGUUGUAAAGCCCUUUUGUUGGGAAAGAAAAGCAGCAGGUUAAUACCCCGCUGUUCUGACGGUACCCAAAGAAUAAGCACCGGCUAACUUCGUG